rnacentral:rRNA from 1 species
UACGUAGGGGGCAAGCGUUAUCCGGAUUCACUGGGUGUAAAGGGAGCGUAGACGGCGACGCAAGUCCGGAGUGAAAGCCCGGGGCCCAACCCCGGGACUGCUCUGGAAACUGCGGCGCUGGAGUACGGGAGGGGCAGGCGGAAUUCCUGGUGUAGCGGUGAAAUGCGUAGAUAUCAGGAGGAACACCGGCGGCGAAGGCGGCCUGCUGGACCGUGACUGACGUUGAGGCUCGAGAGCGUGGGGAGCAAACAGG